CGAACGGGUGAGUAACACGUGAGUAACCUGCCCUGGACUCUGGGAUAAGCGUUGGAAACGACGUCUAAUACCGGAUAGGACCUUGGAUCGCAUGAUCUGGGGUGGAAAGUUUUUUCGGUCUGGGAUGGACUCGCGGCCUAUCAGCUUGUUGGUGAGGUAAUGGCUCACCAAGGCGUCGACGGGUAGCCGGCCUGAGAGGGUGACCGGCCACACUGGGACUGAGACACGGCCCAGACUCCUACGGGAGGCAGCAGUGGGGAAUAUUGCACAAUGGGCGAAAGCCUGAUGCAGCAACGCCGCGUGCGGGAUGACGGCCUUCGGGUUGUAAACCGCUUUUAGUAGGGAAGAAGGGCUUCGGCUUGACGGUACCUGCAGAAAAAGGACCGGCUAACUACGUGCCAGCAGCCGCGGUAAUACGUAGGGUCCGAGCGUUGUCCGGAAUUAUUGGGCGUAAAGAGCUCGUAGGCGGUUUGUCACGUCUGCUGUGAAAACUGGAGGCUCAACCUCCAGCCUGCAGUGGGUACGGGCAGACUAGAGUGCGGUAGGGGAGAAUGGAAUUCCUGGUGUAGCGGUGGAAUGCGCAGAUAUCAGGAGGAACACCGAUGGCGAAGGCAGUUCUCUGGGCCGUAACUGACGCUGAGGAGCGAAAGCGUGGGGAGCGAACAGGAUUAGAUACCCUGGUAGUCCACGCCGUAAACGUUGGGCGCUAGAUGUGGGGACCUUUCCACGGUUUCCGUGUCGUAGCUAACGCAUUAAGCGCCCCGCCUGGGGAGUACGGCCGCAAGGCUAAAACUCAAAGGAAUUGACGGGGGCCCGCACAAGCGGCGGAGCAUGCGGAUUAAUUCGAUGCAACGCGAAGAACCUUACCAAGGCUUGACAUAACCGAGAACGCCGCAGAAAUGUGGAACUCUUUGGACACUCGGUUACAGGUGGUGCAUGGUUGUCGUCAGCUCGUGUCGUGAGAUGUUGGGUUAAGUCCCGCAACGAGCGCAACCCUCGUCGCAUGUUGCCAGCACGUAAUGGUGGGAACUCAUGUGAGACUGCCGGGGUCAACUCGGAGGAAGGUGGGGAUGACGUCAAAUCAUCAUGCCCCUUAUGUCUUGGGCUUCACGCAUGCUACAAUGGCCGGUACAAAGGGCUGCGAUGUCGUAAGGCGGAGCGAAUCCCAAAAAGCCGGUCUCAGUUCGGAUUGAGGUCUGCAACUCGACCUCAUGAAGUCGGAGUCGCUAGUAAUCGCAGAUCAGCAACGCUGCGGUGAAUACGUUCCCGGGCCUUGUACACACCGCCCGUCAAGUCAUGAAAGU
rnacentral:rRNA from 1 species